UCACAUCCCAUCCCGUCCCCGCGCGUCCGGCCACCCCUCCCGCGCCACCUGGGCGCCCCAGCCUUGACCCCAAGCCCGUAGCCGCGCGCGCGGGGGCCCUCCGUGCUCUACCUCCUGGACGUCGGUGGAACCUCCCGCUGUCUUUGGACCCAAGCCCUUAUCAAACCUGGUCUUCUCCACGACCAACUGCUGCGCAUCCGGCUCCCCUGGAGUUCUUCGCAGUGACCCCUGGAAGUCUGGAUCUGCUUUGUUGCCUGGAAGCCGUUUACUUAGAUUCAGCAAAUGUUCACUCUUGGACCCAAGUUGAGAUUUACUAAACAGUGAUUCUCUAGCAUCACA